rnacentral:tRNA from 1 species
ACACAAAUGUCAGAAAUUUAUGAGUUGGUUUUAAGCAUCAUUUAUGGGGUUAUCCUCUUUGUGUA